rnacentral:ncRNA from 2 species
AACGGACACUCUGGAAAGCGUUCCGGCCGUGCCGGAACCACCGAAGGGGUAACCUUGGGGCGCAUCCCCCAAGGGAAAACUCUCAGGUUCCCGUGACAGAGGGGGCAUG